UGGGGAAUCUUGCACAAUGGUGGAAACCCUGAUGCAGCGACGCCGCGUGAGCGAUGAAGACCUUCGGGGUGUAAAGCUCUUUCGGCAGGGAAGAUGAUGACGGUACCUGCAGAAGCAGCUGCGGCUAACUACGUGCCAGCAGCCGCGGUAAUACGUAGGCAGCAAGCGUUGUUCGGAGUUAAUGGGCGUAAAGGGUGUGUAGGCGGUUCGUCAAGUUUGGUGUGAAAUCUCCCGGCUCAACCGGGAGGGUGCGCCGAAUACUGAGGGGCUAGAGUGCGGGAGAGGAAAGUGGAAUUCCUGGUGUAGCGGUGAAAUGCGUAGAUAUCAGGAGGAACACCUGUGGUGUAAACGGCUUUCUGGACCGUAACUGACGCUGAGACACGAAAGCGUGGGUAGCAAACA
rnacentral:rRNA from 1 species